AAGUUUGAUAAUGACAUAGGAGAGCUAGGAACUCCUCUUUCAAGAGCCUCUUCAGUGCGACGUGCAUUAUCCGUUUUAGAGAUGGAGGUUGAGCAAAUAAAUAAAGGACAUUAUGAGCAUUACAUGCAGAAGGAAAUUCAUGAGCAACCUGAGUCUCUGACAACCACAAUGAGGGGGAGGCUUAUAUGUCGUGGAUCUAGCAAAUCCAAGUCUGUUCUGCUCGGUGGAUUGAAGGAUCACCUUAAAACAAUUAGGCGAAGUAGAAGGAUAGUAUUCAUUGGUUGUGGUACAAGUUAUAAUGCUGCUUUGGCGGCUAGACCUAUCCUGGAAGAACUUUCUGGUCAGUGAUAUAUAAACUUUCUUUUAGUAAGGUUUGCAUAUUAUAAAUAUGCUGAUUUUAAUGUUUUACACUAUACAUUGAACUAUAGGUAUUCCUGUUACUAUGGAAAUUGCUAGUGAUCUGUUGGAUCGGGAGGGCCCAAUAUAUCGCGAAGAUACAGCUGUUUUUGUUAGUCAAUCCGGUGAAACUGCAGACACUUUACUUGCACUGCAAUAUGCUUUAGACAAUGGCGCAUUAUGUGUUGGGAUAACAAACACUGUUGGUAGCGCAAUAGCAAGGAAUACUCACUGUGGUGUUCAUAUAAAUGCUGGAGCUGAGAUUGGUGUGGCAAGUACCAAGGUAAAUGUUGCAUUUAAAGGAUAUCGUUUUCUUUAUUCCAUUUUAUAUUAUCCUAUUGUUGGCUUGACCAGUGGGUUACUCACAUAUUUGUAACUGCUAUAGGCAUACACGAGCCAAAUAGUAGUUAUGGCCAUGGUGGCUCUUGCAAUAGGAGGUGAUACAAUUUCCAAUCAAGGGAGAAGAGAAGCUAUUAUAGAUGGUCUUUUUGACCUGCCAAGUGAGUUUCUGUUGGCUGAGCAUAGUACAGGAUUUGAGUACAUUAUGUGGUGUCUGGUUGAUGGCUAAAAAAGUAAAGAAAUUAUAACUUCCAAGAAUUGCAAACAACUUACAACCAAAGCUAAAACACUUUUUUCUUUUAUGAGAAAUCCACUAAAUGCCACAUAAAGAAGCUCAGUAGCAGUUGAAGAAGUUAUCUAAUUAACAUGUUGUAUUGUAGAUAAAGUCAGAGAGGUGCUGAAGCUUGAUCAGGAGAUGAAGGAUCUUGCACAGCUAUUGAUUGCUGAGCAGUCACUUCUUGUCUUUGGGAGAGGAUACAACUAUGCAACUGCUCUGGAGGGAGCUUUGAAAGUAAAGGAAGUGGCACUUAUGCACAGUGAAGGGAUACUCGCAGGUGAAAUGAAGCAUGGCCCUCUGGCAUUAGUGGAUGAAAAUCUUCCAAUUGUUGUCAUAGCUACCCGCGAUGCUUGCUUCAGGUUGGUUGCUUUGACUGUUGAGUAGCUUUAUGAUCUGAAAUUAGGAGUUCGAUACUGACAUCUUUAAUCUUUCGCAGCAAACAGCAGUCAGUUAUUCAACAACUUUUAAAUUUUAACUACCAAGAGCUUAUAUUAGAUCCCCCCCCCCCGACUUGCCAUUUAUAUAAAAGAAGAAAUACUGUUUAGUAAAGAGAAAGAGAGACAUACGUAGCACAGGAACAAAUAGGAUGUUCUUCAAGUCUUUGAACUGAAAGAUAAAAGAAAAAAACAAGAAAAGAAAGUCAUGAGUUAUUAUUGCUAGUCUCUCAGUAAGCACCCCAAUGAGGCCACUUUUCAACAAAAGAAGCAAUAUUAAAAAUGAUAUCAUUAAAAAUUCUCAGUUCUGCACUCCACUACAACCAUGAGCAUACUGUCAUUACUGUGCUCAUGGAAAAAGAGCCUUUCCCGAUUUCUUCCAACCGAAACAAUUAAAAUCACAUGGGAAAUUGCUCAAAACUCUCUUGACAGCACUUAUCCUAUAGUAGGACAGCGAUUUAAAAAAUUGCUAGUCUCAAAAUCAGAGAAAUACAUGGCGCAAACAUUAGGCGAGUUUUGGAUGGUAUGCUAACCUCUGAAAAAUCAUUUUUAUUAAUUGUAUCUAGCACUGUAGUUCAAAUGAGAGAUUCACUCCUUGAACUUGUAAAAGCUUUAGCUACAGGAAUGUUUUCCUCAUUUGGAAAUUAAGUAACAAACUGAAAAUAAGACCUAAUAGAGUUCACUCCAUUUAUCCAAGUACCAUAUCCUAUUAUCGACCAACGGAGAGGGAUAGUCAUGGAGUCACACUAUCAAGAAUUUUGAGCAAUAAUAUUUCUUUUCAGAAAUGUAUGGAAAAAUGGAAAAUCAUGUAAUUCCACUGCUUAGAAGUAUUUAACUUAAAUAGCUGCUAGUGCAUUCGUUAUACAUAGUGUACAAAUGAUAAAGGCAGGACACAUGAAAAGGAAAAUGGGAAAGAUGAUUAUUAAACCACAAGUCCUCCUACAAUACGAUACUUGGACCAUCCUGCUUUUACUAUGAAUAAGCUUUUUCUUCUAUAUGGUAUUUCAUUAUACUGCAUUUUCUUGUUUAAUUUAUUUUUCAUGGUUAAUGGAUAUUGUGUGAAGGUGAAUUUUUUUAGAUUGUCCCGUAGAAUAGCUCAAUUGGUAAGAGUCGGGGACAUAUGGGUUGGGUAGGGGAGGUCCAGGGAUCGAUUCCUGGCGGGUGCAAUUUAUCUUUCCAAUGUACCCAAAAAAAAAAAGUUUUUUUAGAUUGACAAUGAUUAAAGUAGUUACUGUUCUAAUCUCAGGAAUUGACAGAAACUAAGGAAAAUGGUUCAGCCUUUGAGGACGACAAAUUCCUAUCAAAAGAUGGACGACCCAAAGAACUGUUUUUGUCCAGUGAUGCCAAUGCUGUGGUUGAGCAUACAAAGAAAGUUCUAGUUAUUGAGGAUAGUGAAGUUGUUCAUCUCAAGGUAGAUCCUGCACCCACUCUUUCCAAUGUAGUACUUGCAAGCUUUAUGUUCACUUGGCACCCUUCACAUUACUGAAAUAUAGUAAUCUGAUUCGGGUUCCAUAUGAAUAUAUUCCCUUUCCCUUUUCAGCAUGAGAUGAUACUGUAUACAUCAUUCACAGUGCUGUAGUUGCAUAUCUGUGUAAUCAUGUCGAAUUGAAAACAAAUAUUGUUCUUAUCUUGGAAAUGAUUCUGUCAGGAUGGUGGGGUUUCUAUUUUGAAGUUUGAUAAUGACAUAGGAGAGCUAGGAACUCCUCUUUCAAGAGCCUCUUCAGUGCGACGUGCAUUAUCCGUUUUAGAGAUGGAGGUUGAGCAAAUAAAUAAAGGACAUUAUGAGCAUUACAUGCAGAAGGAAAUUCAUGAGCAACCUGAGUCUCUGACAACCACAAUGAGGGGGAGGCUUAUAUGUCGUGGAUCUAGCAAAUCCAAGUCUGUUCUGCUCGGUGGAUUGAAGGAUCACCUUAAAACAAUUAGGCGAAGUAGAAGGAUAGUAUUCAUUGGUUGUGGUACAAGUUAUAAUGCUGCUUUGGCGGCUAGACCUAUCCUGGAAGAACUUUCU
rnacentral:lncRNA from 1 species